UCUGCUGCUGUGUGCAAUUGAAGGGUGGUUACGACAUGUAUAGAGGCAUUUCUCUAGGUUCUUUGGCAGACGUUCAAGAAUGAUCUCAGUUUUGUUCAUUUGUUCAUUCACUCCUUCCUUCCUUCCUUCCUUCCUUCCUUCAUUCAUUCAUUCAUUCAUUACCAAACAUUAAUUGGGGUCCUACCAAAGGGUCUUAAUAAGACAGACUUUUAGAUCUUAGGAGGUUGAACAUUCCUUAGAGUGAAGUUGGAAAAGUACAGGAAAACGGUAAAUACGGAUGUGAAUAAGAUAAUGUCUGGCAUUCUAUCACUUCUGAUGUUUAAAAUUACCUUCUUCAACUCUGGCUCGUGUCACCUGCACCUUAGCUAGAAAGAGACAUUAGAUCACUAAGACUAUUCAGAUCGGAGAAACGGACAGGAAGUGAAAGAGAGACAAAGGGACAGCAGCAUCGCAGGUUAGUUAGGCUGCACAUCUCUUAGGAUGUUUUCCACAGCAAAACAUUAAAAUAGAACAACUGCAGCACCAUUUUGAUUAGCUGUCACCUGUUCUACGGGUAGCUGGGAGGGACACAUGCAUCUUCGCAGGCAAGUGGAACAAAACAGAUUUUAAUUGAUCUGGAUCCAAAGGUUGACAUUGCCUUCUCCUAGAUUCAACACCAGGCAAGUUGUUUUCAUAUUUCCAGUCACAUUAUCAUAAAACUGAUGUUGUCAUGAGCUGUCUCAGAGACUCUAUCAGAAAUAAGUGGAAGACUAUGCAGAAAGGGCCUAAGAUCAUUUCUCUCUUCAAGAGAUGAGAGGGAUGAGUGCCUGCAGUUUUCUGGUUUAUCUCAAUUCACAACUGGUAAUUUUUUUGUGUAUAAUACAUUAUGAUAAUCCAUAAGCUGUAGUAGCAGUUUCUUAAAAUUCUCCAAAAUGAUUAUGGUGACCGAGUUAGUAACUUGUCACCUUCUAAAAUCACUUGCGCAGAGUGUUAAUGAGGCACAGGUUAGGCUGAGCUGGACUGUUUGAAUGUCUGCAGGAGGUUGCUUUAUUGUUGUUAACCAGGCUGAGAAGAUGCAGACAGAAUGAAUGAAGGCAGCGCCACUUCAUGGGUUGGACCUGAACCGUCUAAGAAUUAAGAAGGCCAGACUAUGCUCAGUGUAGCCAGAAAGCAAGGAUCCACUUCUCUCUUUGAUCCUGACUGUGGCUGCGACACUGCCAACUGCUUGAGUUUCUGUCCCUGCAAGGAUGGACUGUAACCUGUAAUUGUAAGGAGGGGAUGCCAUUUCUUUUAGUCCAUGAAGAAGUCAUUUGAGGAAGACAAAGAAAGCUUUAUUUAAAUCAUCCAUAUGUGCCACAGGAACUACUCAAAGGUUCUCAUGAUGUGGAGCUAGGACUCAUAGCCAGUCCACCAAAAGACUCAGUCAGAGGGAGUACCAGCUGCCCUUGGCUUGGGUGGUCCCCAAGUCCAGUUACUGACCUUGUGAUGCAGAGAACCACCACACAGAUGACAGCAAUCUGAAUUGUUCCAAUCACAGCUGCAAUCAAGACAUACUGGAAUCGGACAGGACCAGGGACCACAUAGAGAACACUGUAGUCUUUCUUCUCACAGUGUUGACCAGUAUAACCCGCAUCACAUCUGGAAGAAGG